GUUCAUCAGAUGCAGAUGCCAUUGCUGCUACUUCUGAAAUUGUGAAAGAGCUUACUAGUCGUGGUCCUCUGGACAAGAAAGUAAUCCAGUGGUUGCUUACUUUACAUCAAAUAGGUCUGGAUGUGGUUCGAACUGACAGGACAUUGGUUUUCUAUGAGAACAAAGAAAACUUGUCAAAACUAUGGGAUAUUCUCGCUGUUUAUGCCUGGAUUGAUACUGAUGUUGGCUAUUGUCAAGGGAUGAGUGACCUUUGUUCCCCCAUGAUAAUGCUUCUUGAAGAUGAAGCUGAUGCAUUUUGGUGCUUUGAACGUCUGAUGCGUAGAUUGCGAGGAAAUUUCAGAUGCACUGAGAGCUCUGUUGGGGUGGAGACACAACUUUGUAAUUUAGCCGCAGUUACUCAAGUUAUUGAUCCAAAACUACAUCAGCAUUUAGAUGCACUUGGUGGAGGUGAUUAUUUAUUUGCUUUUAGGAUGCUCAUGGUUUUAUUCCGCCGAGAAUUCUCUUUUUGCGACUCACUCUACCUCUGGGAGAUGAUGUGGGCCCUAGAAUAUG
rnacentral:misc_RNA from 1 species